AAUCAACGCUGGCGGCGUGCCUAACACAUGCCAGUCGAACGCGAAAGCCCCGCAAGGGGUAAGUAGAGUGGCAAACGGGUGAGUAACACGUGGGUGACCUGCCUUCGAGUGGGGGAUAACGUCCCGAAAGGGACGCUAAUACCGCAUGACAUCCUGCUUUUGAAAAAGCGGAGAUCAAAGCUGGGGAUCGCAAGACCUAGCGCUUGAAGAGGGGCCCGCGCCUGAUUAGCUAGUUGGUGAGGUAACGGCUCACCAAGGCGACGAUCAGUAUCCGGCCUGAGAGGGCGGACGGACACACUGGGACUGAGACACGGCCCAGUCUCCUACGGGAGGCAGCAGUGGGGAAUUGUUCGCAAUGGGCGCAAGCCUGACGACGCAACGCCGCGUGGAGGACGAAGAUCUUCGGGUCGUAAACUCCUGUCGAGCGGGACGAACGCUUCGCGGAUGAAUAAUCCGCGGAAUUGACGGUACCGCUAAAGGAAGCCCCGGCUAACUCCGUG
rnacentral:rRNA from 1 species